rnacentral:tRNA from 1 species
UCCCUGGUGGUCCAGCAGCCAAGACUCUGCACUCGCAAUGCAUGGGGCCCAGGUUCAACCCCUGCUCAGGGAA